rnacentral:rRNA from 1 species
UACGUAGGGUGCGAGCGUUAAUCGGAAUUACUGGGCGUGAAGCGUGCGCAGGCGGUUAUUUAAGUCAGGUGUGAAAGCCCUGGGCUUAACCUAGGAAUUGCGCUUGAGACUGGAUAGCUUGGAGUGCGGCAGAGGGAGGUGGAAUUCCACGUGUAGCAGUGAAAUGCGUAGAGAUGUGGAGGAACACCGAUGGCGAAGGCAGCCUCCUGGGCCAGCACUGACGCUCAUGCACGAAAGCGUGGGGAGCAAACAGG